CGGCAGCUGGGCGGGCAUCCCUGGUGGCGAGUGGCGAACGGGUGAGUAAUAUAUCGGAACGUGCCCGAUCGUGGGGGAUAACGUAGCGAAAGUUACGCUAAUACCGCAUACGAUCUACGGAUGAAAGCGGGGGACCGUAAGGCCUCGCGCGAACGGAGCGGCCGAUAUCAGAUUAGGUAGUUGGUGGGGUAAAGGCCCACCAAGCCAACGAUCUGUAGCUGGUCUGAGAGGACGACCAGCCACACUGGGACUGAGACACGGCCCAGACUUCUACGGGAGGCAGCAGUGGGGAAUUUUGGACAAUGGGCGAAAGCCUGAUCCAGCCAUUCCGCGUGCAGGACGAAGGCCUUCGGGUUGUAAACUGCUUUUGUACGGAACGAAAAGGUUUCAGCUAAUACCUGGGACUCAUGACGGUACCGUAAGAAUAAGCACCGGCUAACUCUGUG
rnacentral:rRNA from 1 species